rnacentral:rRNA from 1 species
CCUACGGGUGGCUGCAGUGGGGAAUAUUGGGCAAUGGGCGCAAGCCUGACCCAGCAACGCCGCGUGAAGGAAGAAGGCUUUCGGGUUGUAAACUUCUUUUCUCAGGGACGAAGCAAGUGACGGUACCUCAGGAAUAAGCCACGGCUAACUACGUGCCAGCAGCCGCGGUAAUACGUAGGUGGCAAGCGUUAUCCGGAUUUAUUGGGUGUAAAGGGCGUGUAGGCGGGAAAGCAAGUCAGAUGUGAAAACCAAGGGCUCAGCCCUUAGCCUGCAUUUGAAACUGUUUUUCUUGAGUGCUGGAGAGGCAAUCGGAAUUCCGUGUGUAGCGGUGAAAUGGGGAGAUAUAAGGAGGAACACCAGUGGCGAAGGCGGAUUGCUGGACAGCAACUGACGCUGAGGCGCGAAAGCGUGGGGAGCAAACAGGAUUAGAUACCCGUGUAGUC